GAUGAACGCUGGCGGCGUGCCUAAUACAUGCAAGUCGUGCGAACAGACGAGGAGCUUGCUCCUCUGACGUUAGCGGCGGACGGGUGAGUAACACGUGGAUAACCUACCUAUAAGACUGGGAUAACUUCGGGAAACCGGAGCUAAUACCGGAUAAUAUAUUGAACCGCAUGGUUCAAUAGUGAAAGACGGUUUUGCUGUCACUUAUAGAUGGAUCCGCGCCGCAUUAGCUAGUUGGUAAGGUAACGGCUUACCAAGGCAACGAUGCGUAGCCGACCUGAGAGGGUGAUCGGCCACACUGGAACUGAGACACGGUCCAGACUCCUACGGGAGGCAGCAGUAGGGAAUCUUCCGCAAUGGGCGAAAGCCUGACGGAGCAACGCCGCGUGAGUGAUGAAGGUCUUCGGAUCGUAAAACUCUGUUAUUAGGGAAGAACAAAUGUGUAAGUAACUAUGCACAUCUUGACGGUACCUAAUCAGAAAGCCACGGCUAACUACGUG
rnacentral:rRNA from 1 species